rnacentral:lncRNA from 1 species
AUAAUACAUAUCAUAUAUAUCAUAUAUGAUACAUAUAUAUCUCAUAUAUAAUACAUAUAUAUCAUAUAUAAUACAUAUCAUAUAUAAUACAUAUCAUAUAUAAUACAUAUCAUAUAUAUCAUAUAUAAUACAUAUCAUAUAUAUCAUAUAUAAUACAUAUCAUAUAUAUCAUAUAUAAUACAUAUGUAUCAUAUAUAUAAUACAUAUCAUAUAUAUCAUUCAUAUAUAUAUAUACACACACACACAUACACACACACACACACACACACACACACACCCCCUUGGAACAUACCUACCACCUAUUUUGCUAAGCACUCAAUAAAUGUAAGUCUGUGGUCCACACUUCCCACAAAUUGACUAGGGUUCUAUUCUACUCAGUCCAACAAAUAUCUACUGACUUAAAAGAAUAAAAAUAUGAGUAUACACAGCCUUCGUCUUUGAGAAACUUAAAAAUUCAUGUAAGUUUCUCAUCAAUGGUAAGAAAACAAAUCACCACAAUUCAAAGUACAUUAAGUGAUUUCCUGAGACACACAAAAAUCAGGAUGGCACUUGCACGCAGAUUGUUUUACAUAACAGAUGAUAACCAGUUCAUUGUUUUUUUUAAAUGUGUUGGAUUAAUAUUGAAAUGCUACCUUCUGGAGUUAUAACAACAAAAAUAACAAACAAGAAUGGUGAAUUUAAUUUAUGAAUAGAAGUAGCAGCUUUAAGAAUAAGUACAAGAACAAUGUAAAGAGCAUCUCACAAGUAUUUUACCUCAAAUUAUAGAAAACAAAAAUUAUAUUGGGCUUAAAGUAUGCCUUGCCAAAGGACAAAAGCAGCAAGUUCACCAAUACAGAAAUACCAGUGACUCAUUAGUAAAAACAAAUUUCAAACUUCUGAGUGGGGAUUGUGGCCUCAGACAGACUCAAGAUAGAGUCUGUCUUAUUAGCUAUGAAACCUCUGAGCCUCAACUUCAUCCUGUCUGUUAGAUGGGAUGCUUGCAGUUCCAAUAAACAGAAAUGCCAACUCAAAAAAUCAAUUAAGCAGUAAGAUACAUUACAUCACACUCAGUGAUGUCUAAAAAAAAAAAGAAAGAAACAGCCUCCUCUUGGGAUUCUUAAGAUCACCCAGCGAACUUUCCUUUGUGUCUUGUUGUCCAGAACUUAGUAACCAAUACAUGGCUGAACUAAUCAGGAAUGGAGUUCCUCUUAGAUCUCUUGGGCCCAUCCCUGAAGUUAGAGGUGGGGACAGCUUCCCCUGAGACACAGAUUGCAAAGAAGAGAGGUGGAUUCCGGAAAAAACUGCAGUUCUUUUAGAAAGUUGGAGAGAAAAAUGGAGACCUUAUAGAUGACCAGCAGUAUCUACUAAGAAUACUAACCUCGUGGGCUUGAUACAAACAGGCUGACUCUUGCUCAUCCAUCGAGUCUCAACUUUCAUGAAGUGGCUUCAAGCCAGCCUUUUCUGCUCACCUGUUACGCUUCUCCUUCUAAGCACAUGGUAGCAUUGCUCUUCCUGGGCCCCUUGGGAUCAGGUGCAGCCAUGGAACUAGCACUUUCCAACUGGUUGUGAACAGAAGUGAUGUGUAUCACCUCCUCACUGGAACAUCAAGUUACAAGACCCCCUUUCUUGUUCUCAUAACAACCAUGGAUGCUUUCAAUGAUGGCAGCUACUGCACCCUGAGCCACUAAAAGACUAGGAAGAAAAGAGGCCCCUGCUGGUGGAUCAUGAGUGUGCAACAUGAAACUAUUUUCAACUUUCAGUUUUCAGGGUCAUUGCAUAACCUGGCCCAGUGCAUCACAAAUUUUAGGUGCAAAGGAAUCACCUAGAGAGCUCCUUUCCCAAAGAGAUUGAUUCAAUCUCCAUGGAGGGGUCAAGCCUUUGAGGACACAAUGCCCAGACUCAGCAUGAGAGUGCUUGUCAGUGAACCAUGCCCACUGAUCCCUAUUGGGUGCUGGAAAAGAUAGCAGAGGAAAAGCCAGCAUUAAGAAGCACAGCCAGCACACGGUCAAGCCAUCAUUCAUGACCACUGCUGGGUCUACCUAUUUCACAAACAGGAUUUCUGCUGACACCGGAAAAAUCCAUAGCAUGCUCACGGAUCUUCCUGUAGUCUCUCAAUCAUUUCUCAGAAUUAAUGGGGAAAAACCUUUUGAAUGUUUGCUAUAUAUAGGAACCAUGUGGAAAAAUUGGAAAUCAUCUAGAGAUAUUUAAAAGGAGACUCAGAUUUACAUACAAUGAUAUGUUUGAAGUUUGCUUUGAAAUACUAUAUUCUCCCUUACCCUCUUCCCCCACCAGAAAACCUGUGGAGUAACAAAAAUGGAAUAAAUACGAUUUGCCAUGAUGUAAUAAUCACCUGAUGAGUUCUUCCUGCCCAC